AAUAAUAGCCCCUAAACACAAGAGUAGUAAUGUUGGCAAUUUGGGUAUGCCAAAGAAAAGUCAUAAAGUGCUUCUUUUAAGUGAAAAUGUGAAAGUUUUUGAAUUAGUAAGGAAAGAAAAAAAUCCAUAUGCCGAGGUCGCUAAGAUCCAUGAUAAGAAUGAAUCUUCUACCUGUGAAAUUGUGAAGGAAAAAGAAAUUCAUGUUAGUUUUGCUGUUGUACCUCAAACUGCAAAAGUUAUGGCCACAGCGUAUAACUUUUAUUAAAAUAUAUUUGUGUAACUGUUCUAUCUUAUUUUACCUUUCUGUUUUAUUUUUAGAGACAAGGCUUCAUUCUGUCAACCAGGCUGGAGUGCAAUGGUGCAAUAAUAGCUCACUGCAGCCUCAAACUCUUUGGCUCAAGUGAUCUUCCUGCCUCAGCCUCCCAAGUAGCUGGGACUGCAAUGCCAUCUUCUGCUCUUCUCUGCUAGACUCUGUGCCUCAAAAGGUGGAAUUUUUCAUAAACUAUUCCAGCUGGGGUCUCAUGCCAGUUGGUUUUGACCAAUGGGUAACACCAUCAGUAAGUUGGAGGAUGGAAAAGGAAAAAAGGUUAGGAUAUGUCUCACCACCUCUUUUCCUGCUUCUGGCUGGGUUCUGAUGGUGGCUUUGUCCCUCGAAGGCUCCUCCUGCAAGGCAGCCCUGCUCCACUGCGCCAGCCUUCACUGGGUUCUGCUAACGUGAUUCCCUCCUCUUAUUUCUUCAGGCCUAGCUGUGCUAACUCCUGGGUACCUCCAUGUUUCUCCUUGUUUCCUUUCAUCCAACCCUAACCCUAACUUCUAUAAAUAGUUCCUGCAAUAAAAUCUCUUCAGCUGAAA